rnacentral:lncRNA from 1 species
GGCAAGGACGUCGCCGGUGGCUCUGCACCUAUACCUGGACCAGGUAAUUAACAUCUUUCUUGUCUCCAUAUCCGUUGCAUACUCGUGGUUGUGUAUCUGAUUCAAGCAUGGUGUGAUCUGCCAUGGGAAUAGCUAUAUAAGAAUUUUUGUCAUGUAUUUACAUUACCUCUGAUGAAACAUCUGAGAUUGGAGGUGGAAAUUUGAACAUACCAGCUGCUCUGCUGAUCGACGUGACUGGUACCAAGAAUUACCACCAAAACCACACACUAUUUGUUAGUAACAUUGGAUAUCGAUUUUAAUGUGAGCAUGACCGGGAUGCAUGUUGAUAGAGCUCCUAAUGGCAAACUCUGCGCUUCUCUUUUCAGAUUCGGUAUCACCCCCGAUCCGUACAGAGAUUCUCUCAAGUGCUAACAAGUGCUCGAUGCCUGUAGGUAUGGUGCUCUCAUCCUGCUUCCACCCCCUGGCAUUCAAAUGUAGAGAGAGGCUUUGGAGCUUAGGCAUUGCUUCGGCUUGGAAGGUCAGUUGUGGCAUGAUAGUCCCGUAGACAACCAACCGCUUCAGGAGUGCGAAUGCUCUCCCAUAGAUGACAAUUGUUUCUUCCACGGCUCUAUUGAACGUUAAGUCUAGGUCGUUAAGGGCGGGUAACGCCCCAAGAAUACCAACAUCAUCCUUCUCUAGUUUAUCAACAGUGAUAUGCAAGCUCUGGAGGUUAUGCAGUUCCCUAAUCCAGUUUGGGACCCGGGAUAUUCGCAUCAUGGAGAGUCCCAUGAGGUUGGGGGGAGGAGGCGACAAGGUUAGUGCCUCAGGUAUCCAAGAAUCAGGUGAAAAUACGUUCAGGGAGUCGAGGUUACAAAGUUUCCCCAAAGAAGAGUUUAGAACAUUCAUGUCCACAUCUUCAGAAAAACCAGUUCUCAGGUACAGAAGUCUCAGAUUGGUGAGCUCUCCUAGGCCCUUGAUACUGUCGGUUGAGGUGUGCAGCGUGUCAAACCAUCUCAGACGCUGUAGGGAUGUCAUUUUACCGAUGCCCUCAGGCAACAAACACGGCAGGUGAAAAAUAUGCAGAGACAACAAGCAUGGCAGGUGAAAAAUAUCCAUUGGGAUACAUGACCCAUCUAUAUCAAAUGUUUCCAACUUGUGUAGCCCUCUAAUCUUCGUUGGUAGCUGGCAGUUAUCACAGCCUUCAAUCUGUAUAUGGCGGAGCUGAUAUAACUUACACAAUCCUGUUAGGUUGAUUUUCCGAUUGUCAUCAACAGAACUAGAACUAAAGUCAGCAAUAAAAACACGAAGAUACUUGAAUUCUGCCAGUGGAGGUAUAUUCGUGGAGCCUCUCCAGUUUGCAAAUGAUCGUACUUGUGACAUACUAAUAUCCCUUGGCAAUGUUGCACCAUCUAAGUUGAACAACAUCCGACGGGGCUUUUGAAGCCGUCCUGUAACGGUCUCUGGGUUGUCUACUACAGUGAUAAAAUUCUCUUCUGCGGACUUGUACAAGAUAAGAUCCAACAACAUAUCAUGUACUUUGCAAGUUAACACUGACCCAUUCAUGUCAAUCUGUACAGGUUGAAUAAGACUCAUGUUGACAAGCUCAUUGAAAUAACUUAUCGCGGUCUGUUUUGGAUUUUGUCCAUGUGCUUUACUAACAAAACCUUCAGAAACCCAUAGGCUUACCAACUCGUGCCUAUAUAUUUCAGAGUCCUCCAGAAACAUACCAAGAUACAAGAAGCAUGUCUUGAGAUGGUGAGGAAGAUUUUUGUAGCUAAGGUUCAAGAUUUGUCUCAUUGCUUCCAAGGUAAGAUUUGUGCCAGACACUGACCCCAGUGAACUGAGUACAUGUUUCCACCUGUCCAUUUGGUUGUAACUUUCACUUGCUAACAGGCUGGAUAUGCUAAUGAUUGCAAGUGGCAAACCAGCACACUUCUUGAGAAUCUCAACUGAAACAUCUCUGAGUUGGCCAGGACAUGCUUCUUCAGAGGAAAAUAUCCUACCAAAAAAUAAUUUCCUUGAGUCUUUUUCACUAAGAGGUUUCAUUUCAAGAAUGUGCUCACGGUGACCGUAACAACAUGCCCCAGCCACAGUCCUAAUUCUUGUAGUCACUAUUAAUCUACUACAAUGAUCAUUUUCUGGGAAAGCACAUUUAAUAAUAUUCCAUGCUGAUACAUCCCAUAGAUCAUCGAUAAUAACCAAGUACCUGCAAGGAAAUCAGUACAGCAGUAAGUAACUAAUAGAAAAAUAUCGAAUAUUUCAGCAGGUUCAAGGUAGAUGAAAAAUAUUUGUUAUCAAAUUAAAUAUUCAUUCUCGUAUAGAAGAACAUAAUAUUAAAUCAUUUAAGGAAAUCUAAGUAUCAGAGGCACAUGUAAACAACAAUAAUAUACAAACUAAAAAUAAGUACCUCUUGUUUUUUAGAUUUUCUCUGACUCGGCCGAGAAGAAUAUUUAACUCACAGUCAUGAAAAUAUUGUCGAUACCCAAGUUGGGUUAAUAAAUUAUGCAGAAGUUUUGGCAUAUUUGGCUUUUGAGACACCGACAAAAAUGCACCACACUGAAAUUCCCCCUCCAGCUUAUGGUAUACCUGAUUGGCAAGUGUUGUUUUCCCCAAACCUCCAAAACCAACAACUGAUACAAUCUUCAACUUCUUCUCGUCAUCUUUUAGCCAAUUGACAAGCCCAUUGGUUGGGCCCUCCAUACCAACAAGUUUAGAUGCAUUUUCAUAGAGUGCCACAACGCGUUGGUCAACUGCCACAUUGCCCGAUUGGGGGAAAUCUAUCUUAUAUCUUUCACGCCGCUCACUUGUUUCACGCACAAGUUUCUUGAUGUCCCCAAUCUGCCCUGCGAUCUGAUGGCGGGCCCUUGAAGUUUUGAGGCGUUGAACGGUGUCGUGGACAAACCCAGAUUUUUUGCUUUUCUCCGCAAUUUUGCACAUGAAGUCAUUGAUAAUAUCCUCGAUGUCAUAUGACAUCUCCCUGACCACGUCCCUCCAGCUCGCGGUCUGUUUAUCCAGUACAUCCACAUCCGCAAGGCUCUCUAGAGCAUCCUUCAUACUGCUCAGCUCAUCGCUGAUGUACUUAACCUCCUUCCUCAAGUUCUUUAGCUUGGCGAACUCCUCCCCCAUCAGGGUGGCCAGCUUACCCAGGAGAGAGUUCAUUACCCCGGUUGAAGCGCUCACCAUUAUUCCAGUCAUCUCUGGCUGGACAAGUAUUUAUCUUUGCUCUCUAGUUAUACAUGUGAUGCACCUGAAACAUUUAAACAACCAGCUGAAUGAAUAAGGUUUCUGUACCAAAAAGGCCAAGAAACAAAUGGGGCUCGUUUCCUCCUUUUCAAAAAAAAAAAAAAACAAAGAAGUUCUAUUCGUGACGAUUUCAGAGAGGACCAUGUAGUUUGGAUGGUUGGAUAGGGCAUCAUCCUCUUUUCCAGGUUUUCCCCAGAUUUUGUAAUUGAACCUUCAGCCAAAAUACUACAGUAUACGCAGUUUUUACAUGAGGCGAAGAUAGACAGAGUUAUAGACAUUUUCGUCGAUAGGAUACCUUGACUACAUGGCAGAACCCGGAAGCAAUUACGCAGCUAGGUGAGCCUGUAAAGUGAACCUGAUAGGUUCAAGUGGCUUUUAACUAAAUCGGGACAACUCUCUGUCAGGCCCUUGAAUCAUUCUUUGAUUCUGAAGCUACUGGAUUUUCCUUGCAAGUUGAUUUCAAGGUUCCCUUAAUGAUCAAACUGGUUUGUUGGUGGUUGGUGGUCGGAAACCGAAUUCUGACUCUCUGUCGCAUCGUAAACACCUGGGCAAAACUUCAGAAAGGCAGCACAACGGCGACACCGCUGAGACUGGCGACCUAAUCUCGAACGCCAGAUCCACCCGGCUGGGGAUUUACCCUCUUUUCGAAAGAAAAGAGAAAAAUAGAUCCAGCCCGAGAUAUAAAAUCAUACUCCGACUAACUAACCUCCAGAAUAAAAUGCAAACAUCUGAAGACAAAAAAAAUUACUUCCUCCCUAACUAAAUACUUGUCGCUGUGAGAAGUAUAUAAAAUUAGAAGACGGCGACUGGACUGGAGGCAUGGAGACAGACCUGAGCAGGUUGCUGAAACAAUGGAGCAGCAGCAUGCAGUUUCCCGAUGGAGAGGUAGAUGAACAGCCGAGCCGACGUAGGCGCGGUAGCAGGUGGUGUGGUGAGGGGGGAACCGGAGAAGCAGAAGCAGCGUGGAUAGAUGGAUGGAGAAGCAGAAGCCGCUGGUUGAGAAGGGGCGAGGAAGCUCAACGCUGGUUGAGAAGGCUGGUUGAGUCCGUGGCGGGCCAGGGUAUCCUCAUCCUCUUGCAUUUUCUUUGUUCUGUUUAGCUCCUCCUAUUCUCUCAUAUUUCUGAGCUAAGCCUGUCUUUGCUAAUCUCUCAGAUUUUUUUUGUUUUCUGUUUUUUCAUGUUCAGGUCUUGGAGCAUCUAAGACCGGACUCCCUGUACUAUAUGAACCGUGAAUGAGAGAUGUGGAUCAGUCCGGGCAUAUAAAGGUCGUUUGAGUAGAGCGUAUCUUCAUCCUGUAGAAUGGUAUGAUUUCGCAAAUUAUGCAUGUUCAGCUUAGUGCAAAAGCAACGUGACGAUUUUUGGUCAAAAUGACUGGAGCUCCUAUUUAC